CUACGGGGCGCACCAGUAGGGAAUCUUCGGCAAUGGACGGAAGUCUGACCGAGCAACGCCGCGUGAGUGAAGAAGGUUUUCGGAUCGUAAAGCUCUGUUGUAAGAGAAGAACGAGUGUGAGAGUGGAAAGUUCACACUGUGACGGUAUCUUACCAGAAAGGGACGGCUAACUACGUGCCAGCAGCCGCGGUAAUACGUAGGUCCCGAGCGUUGUCCGGAUUUAUUGGGCGUAAAGCGAGCGCAGGCGGUUAGAUAAGUCUGAAGUUAAAGGCUGUGGCUUAACCAUAGUACGCUUUGGAAACUGUUUAACUUGAGUGCAGAAGGGGAGAGUGGAAUUCCAUGUGGAGCGGUGAAAUGCGUAGAUAUAUGGAGGAACACCGGUGGCGAAAGCGGCUCUCUGGUCUGUAACUGACGCUGAGGCUCGAAAGCGUGGGGAGCAAACAGGAUUAGAUACCCGGGUAGUC
rnacentral:rRNA from 1 species